rnacentral:rRNA from 1 species
AACGAACGCUGGCGGCGCGCCUAAUACAUGCAAGUCGAGCGAGAAGACGUAGCAAUACGUUUGUAAAGCGGCGAACGGGUGAGGAAUACAUGGGUAACCUACCCUCGAGUGGGGAAUAACUAGCCGAAAGGUUAGCUAAUACCGCGUACGCUCCUUGGACUUCGGUUCAGGGAGGAAAGCGAUACCGUGGGUAUCGCGCUCUUGGAUGGGCUCAUGUCCUAUCAGCUUGUUGGUGAGGAACGGCUCACCAAGGCUUCGACGGGUAGCUGGUCUGAGAGGACGAUCAGCCACACUGGCACUGCGACACGGGCCAGACUCCUACGGGAGGCAGCAGUAAGGAAUAUUGCGCAAUGGGCGAAAGCCUGACGCAGCGACGCCGCGUGGGGGAGUGAGGGUC